rnacentral:rRNA from 1 species
ACGGAAGGCAGCAGUGGGGAAUAUUGCACAAUGGGGGAAACCCCGAUGCAGCGACGCCGCGUGAGUGAAGAAGUUAUUCGUAAUGUAAAGCUCUAUCAGCAGGGAAGAAAAUGACGGUACCUGACUAAGAAGCCCCGGCUAACUACGUGCCAGCAGCCGCGGUAAUACGUAGGGGGCAAGCGUUAUCCGGAUUUACUGGGUGUAAAGGGAGCGUAGACGGUCUAGCAAGUCUGAUGUGAAAGGCAGGGGCUCAACUCCUGGACUGCAUUGGAAACUGUUAGUCUUGAGUGUCGGAGAGGUAAGCGGAAUUCCUAGUGUAGCGGUGAAAUGCGUAGAUAUUAGGAGGAACACCAGUGGCGAAGGCGGCUUACUGGACGAUAACUGACGUUGAGGCUCGAAAGCGUGGGGAGCAAACAGGAUUAGAUACCCUGGUA